GGACGAACGCUGGCGGCGUGCUUAACACAUGCAAGUCGAACGGAAAGGCCCUGCUUUUGUGGGGUGCUCGAGUGGCGAACGGGUGAGUAACACGUGAGUAACCUGCCCUUGACUUUGGGAUAACUUCAGGAAACUGGGGCUAAUACCGGAUAGGAGCUCCUGCUGCAUGGUGGGGGUUGGAAAGUUUCGGCGGUUGGGGAUGGACUCGCGGCUUAUCAGCUUGUUGGUGGGGUAGUGGCUUACCAAGGCUUUGACGGGUAGACGGCCUGAGAGGGUGACCGGCCACAUUGGGACUGAGAUACGGCCCAGACUCCUACGGGAGGCAGCAGUGGGGAAUAUUGCACAAUGGGCGGAAGCCUGAUGCAGCAACGCCGCGUGCGGGAUGACGGCCUUCGGGUUGUAAACCGCUUUCGCCUGUGACGAAGCGUGAGUGACGGUAAUGGGUAAAGAAGCACCGGCUAACUACGUG
rnacentral:rRNA from 1 species